AGCGUGGCGAGGUAGAUCCACGAGGGGCGGUGCCAUGGACGGCGACCCCCGGGCGAGGCUCCUUCGACGGCGACCCUAGCCUCUUUAUCUUCAACCUCGGCGGUGCGAGAUCCGCUACCUCCUUUCCACCUCUACUUCGGCGGCGUGAGAUCCACAAAGGGCGCCGCCUUGGACGACGACGGCGACCCUUCCUCAUGCAACAGCGCCACGCGACGGAUUUGACUCUAGAUCUACCGGGCCACUCGGAUGAGGGGUGGCAUGGAUCCAACGACGGAGCUCGCGGAGGCAGCUGCGACAACGGCAUGCGGACGGUGGCACGGAUCCGGCGAGCGCGCGGUGGAUGCACCCUCCCUUCGACCAACGGCGGCGCAUCUGCAUCCUCCGGGUGGGCGUGGUUCAGCGGGGACGGCGGAUGAGGCAGCGAGCGAGCGGCGCUGGCGAGCCGAGGUGGUAGGCGAAUCUCCGGCGGCCGGCAGCCGCUUGGGUCGGAGUGGAUUUUUUUUAAUUUUUUUGUUUUCGCCAGUAGCAGCGGGCGGUUGCAACUUUCGCCCGCUGCAGUAGACAUUCCAUUUUUAGGGGCGAGUGCAUAGCGGUGGGUGGCCGGGCCUGCCGCUACAGUAGCUAUUCGCCCGCCUCUGUAGAGGUCUUCUGGUGUAGUGUUACUUCCUGAGCUUUCCUUUGCAAUUGAUCAAGCGCAUGUCCAAUCUUCAUCUGGUGCUCCUCCCGAAGUAAAAUCUUCCACUGCUGCAUAAAAGCCAAGAUUUUGAAACCAA